rnacentral:lncRNA from 1 species
GCAAUGUUGUCACCAUCUCCUCUUUAGCCCAUGUAUCCUUGACAAGGUUGUUCUGCCCUUCAAGCUCAUAUGAUGGUUGUGCAUGUAGGAGACCUAGCCUUCUGUCACCAAGGAAACAGAAAGCAGAGGAGGAAUGUGACCGUGGGAGGCUGCAGGCAAAAGUGAUGUGGGGCCAAAACUGUACCUGGAAGCUACAUGGUACAAUCCCUGAGGCCCUGUUCAGACCUUCAUUCUAUUCUGGUGUCUUCCUAGUGACAGCCCUGCUAGCCAAUGACAACAACUUCUCCCUGACUCUUCCCCAGCCUUGCUUCCCAGUCCUGAGACUUGAAGAGCACAGAGGAUGGCCUCUGUAGGUCAGUCACUGGCUCUGGACCAUUGACCACUACCACUGCUUUUACUUGGGAUGGUGUUCAAAUUGUGGGAUGUCUGAGAAAGCUGGGUUCCACGUUUUUGCUAUGCAACCUGUUCCUCACGUCCUGGACUUUGCCUGCUCCAGUCCUCAGUUGCCAUUCAGUAAGCAUUGUGACGUGUAAGGCUCUCAGGAGAAGCCAGAUCCCAGUGGCAUUAGUGUGACAAACAAGCUGUGCCCAAGGAGCUGACACUCUGGCAGAGUCCAGGACAUUCAGGAAGACAGAGGUGGUGAG